rnacentral:rRNA from 1 species
UGUGUAGGCGGAAAUCUAAGCGUUUUGUGAAAUCCCUCGGCUUAACCGAGGAAUUGCUUGGCGAACUGGAUUUCUUGAGGCAAACAGGGGUGUGUGGAACUCUUGGUGGAGCGGUGGAAUGCGUAGAUAUCAAGAGGAACGCCAAUGGUGAAGACAGCGCACUGGGUUUGUUCUGACGCUGAGACACGAAAGCGUGGGUAGCGAACAGGAUUAGAUACCCUGGUAGUCC